rnacentral:misc_RNA from 1 species
AUGAAGCUGAGGGUGACC